GAUGAACGCUAGCUACAUGCUUAACACAUGCAAGUCGAGGGACCGGCGCACGGGUGAGUAACACGUAUCCACCCUGCCCUUUACUCGGGGAUAGCCUUUCGAAAGAAAGAUUAAUACCCUAUAUAAAUGAUCGGGAUGCGUUCCAUUAGGUUGUUGGUGAGGUAACGGCCCACCAAGCCUUCGAUGGCUAGGGGUUCUGAGAGGAAGGUCACCGACAUUGGAACUGAGACACGGUCCAAACUCCUACGGGAGGCAGCAGUGAGGAAUAUGGGUCAAUGGGCGGUAGCCUGAACCAGCCAAGUAGCGUGAAGGAUGAAGGCUUAUGGGUCGUAAACUUCUUUUAUAUAAGAAUAUGUAUUAUAUGAAUAAGGAUCGGCUAACUCCGUGCCAGCCGCCGCGGUAAUAC
rnacentral:rRNA from 1 species